GAUGAAGGGCGUGCUAAUCUGCGAUAAGCGCCGGUAAGGUGAUAUGAACCGUUAUAACCGGCGAUACCCGAAUGGGGAAACCCAGUGUGACUCGUCACACUAUCAUUAACUGAAUCCAUAGGUUAAUGAGGCGAACCGGGGGAACUGAAACAUCUAAGUACCCCGAGGAAAAGAAAUCAACCGAGAUUCCCCCAGUAGCGGCGAGCGAACGGGGAGGAGCCCAGAGCCUGAAUCAGCAUGUGUGUUAGUGGAAGCGUCUGGAAAGGCGCGCGAUACAGGGUGACAGCCCCGUACACAAAAGCGCAUGUGCUGUGAGCUCGAUGAGUAGGGCGGGACACGUGGUAUCCUGUCUGAAUAUGGGGGGACCAUCCUCCAAGGCUAAAUACUCCUGACUGACCGAUAGUGAACCAGUACCGUGAGGGAAAGGCGAAAAGAACCCCGGCGAGGGGAGUGAAAAAGAACCUGAAACCGUGUACGUACAAGCAGUGGGAGCCCCACCACCAAAGCAUUCUCUGGUGUUGAAGGCCCUGCAAAGCAGCAUCGCGGUGGCGGAGCGUCGUUUGCGACGCCCAACACACAAAACAAGCGGUGAGUGCUUUGGGGUGGGGUGACUGCGUACCUUUUGUAUAAUGGGUCAGCGACUUAUAUUCUGUAGCAAGGUUAACCGAAUAGGGGAGCCGGAGGGAAACCGAGUCUUAAUUGGGCGUUAAGUUGCAGGGUAUAGACCCGAAACCCGGUGAUCUAGCCAUGGGCAGGUUGAAGGUUGGGUAACACUAACUGGAGGACCGAACCGACUAAUGUUGAAAAAUUAGCGGAUGACCUGUGGCUGGGGGUGAAAGGCCAAUCAAACCGGGAGAUAGCUGGUUCUCCCCGAAAGCUAUUUAGGUAGCGCCUCGUGAAUUCAUCUCCGGGGGUAGAGCACUGUUUCGGCUAGGGGGCCAUCCCGGCUUACCAACCCGAUGCAAACUGCGAAUACCGGAGAAUGUUAUCACGGGAGACACACGGCGGGUGCUAACGUCCGUCGUGAAGAGGGAAACAACCCAGACCGCCAGCUAAGGUCCCAAAGUCAUGGUUAAGUGGGAAACGAUGUGGGAAGGCCCAGACAGCCAGGAUGUUGGCUUAGAAGCAGCCAUCAUUUAAAGAAAGCGUAAUAGCUCACUGGUCGAGUCGGCCUGCGCGGAAGAUGUAACGGGGCUAAACCAUGCACCGAAGCUGCGGCAGCGACACUGUGUGUUGUUGGGUAGGGGAGCGUUCUGUAAGCCUGUGAAGGUGGCCUGUGAGGGUUGCUGGAGGUAUCAGAAGUGCGAAUGCUGACAUAAGUAACGAUAAAGCGGGUGAAAAGCCCGCUCGCCGGAAGACCAAGGGUUCCUGUCCAACGUUAAUCGGGGCAGGGUGAGUCGACCCCUAAGGCGAGGCCGAAAGGCGUAGUCGAUGGGAAACGGGUUAAUAUUCCCGUACUUGGUGUUACUGCGAAGGGGGGACGGAGAAGGCUAUGUUGGCCGGGCGACGGUUGUCCCGGUUUAAGCGUGUAGGUGUGUGUUCCAGGUAAAUCCGGUUCACUUUAACACUGAGGCGUGACGACGAGGCACUACGGUGCUGAAGCAACAAAUGCCCUGCUUCCAGGAAAAGCCUCUAAGCAUCAGGUAACAUCAAAUCGUACCCCAAACCGACACAGGUGGUCAGGUAGAGAAUACCAAGGCGCUUGAGAGAACUCGGGUGAAGGAACUAGGCAAAAUGGUGCCGUAACUUCGGGAGAAGGCACGCUGACACGUAGGUGAAGU
rnacentral:rRNA from 1 species